UCAACUAGUCAGAGGUUUCAGCAG
rnacentral:misc_RNA from 1 species